ncrna:unclassified sequences RAGATH-10 RNA
GAAACCUCAUCUUCAGUCGCGCUAUCCGGGCGCGUCGAAUAAGUGUUUUUUAACACGAGCGAGCGUCCGCUCGGGUGAGGAGAAAGU